GACCUGGCCGGGUGGUCUUGCCGAAAGGUAAGCACUGCUUUUGGUCGGGUCUUUCCUUCUGGGGAACCAGCGUGCGCUUGAUUGAGUGCGUUGGGGAUCCAGGACUUUUACUUUGAAAAAAUUAGAGUGCUUAAAGCAGGCUAGUGCUUGAAUAGAUUAGCAUGGAAUAAUAAAAUAGGA
rnacentral:rRNA from 1 species